rnacentral:rRNA from 1 species
CACGUAGUUAGCCGGGGCUUCUUAGUCAGGUACCGUCAUUUUUUCUUCCCUGCUGAUAGAGCUUUACAUACCGAAACACUUCUUCACUCACGCGGCGUCGCUGGAUCAGGGUUUCCCCCAUUGUCCAAUAUUCCCCACUGCUGCCUCCCGUAGGAGUUUGGGCCGUGUCUCAGUCCCAAUGUGGCCGUCCACCCUCUCAGGCCGGCUACUGAUCGUCGCCUUGGUGGGCCGUUACCCCACCAACCAGCUAAUCAGACGCGGGUCCAUCAUAUACCACCGUAGUUUUUCACACUGUCUCAUGCAAAACUGUGCGCUUAUGCGGUAUUAGCACCUAUUUCUAAGUGUUAUCCCCCUGUAUAUGGCAGGUUACCCACGCGUUACUCACCCGUCCGCCACUAAGUCAUCAACAUUUCCACUCUUAGCAAGCUAAUUGCUUCAAAAAUGAUGACUCCGUUCGACUUGCAUGUGUUAAGCACGCCGCCAGCGUUCAUCCUGAGCCAGGAU